rnacentral:rRNA from 1 species
GACGGGACCGCACAAGCGGUGGAUGAUGUGGUUUAAUUCGAUGACAACGCGAAAACUUACCCACCUUUGACAUGUACGGAAGUUGCCAGAGAUGGCUUCGUGCUCGAAAGAGAGCCGUAACACAGGUGCUGCAUGGCUGUCGUCAGCUCGUGUCGUGAGAUGUUGGGUUAAGUCCCGCAACGAGCGCAACCCUUGUCAUUAGUUGCUACGAAAGGGCACUCUAAUGAGACUGCCGGUGACAAACCGGAGGAAGGUGGGGAUGACGUCAAGUCCUCAUGGCCCUUAUAGGUGGGGCUACACACGUCAUACAAUGGCUGGUACAAAGGGUUGCCAACCCGCGAGGGGGAGCCAAUCCCAUAAAGCCAGUCGUAGUCCGGAUCGCAGUCUGCAACUCGACUGCGUGAAGUCGGAAUCGCUAGUAGUCGUGGAUCAGCAUGUCACGGUGAAUACGUUCCCGGGUCUU